GACGAACGCUGGCGGCGUGCUUAACACAUGCAAGUCGAACGAAGUGGCGAACGGGUGAGUAAUACGUGGGUAACCUGCCCUCCGUGUUGGGAUAAGCCUUGGAAACGGGGUCUAAUACCGAAUACAGGGGGAUGGGCGAGCGGCCGAUUAGCUUGUUGGUGGGGUGAUGGCCUACCAAGGCGGUGACGGGUAGCCGGCCUGAGAGGGUACACCGACACGUUGGCACGGGGCUGCGUCCUAAGCGACUACGCAGGGGAGCAGAUGGGAAUAUUGCACCAUGGGCGAAGGCCUGAUGCAGCGUCGCCGCGUGGGGGAUGAGGGUUUUCAGGUUGUAUACCUCUGUCGGAAUGCAACGGUUAGGUGGAGAAGAAGCGCCGGCUAACUACGUGCCAGCAGCCGCGGUAAUAC
rnacentral:rRNA from 1 species